CUGUGUUUAUGUAUGAACCAAAAGUCAAGUCAAAGAAUGCCCUCCUGUUAAAAGUUAGACUUGGUGUGACACCGACUUACCUGCUCACGGAGCACCGUGCAGCUCCUCAUUCACCCUCCUCCACUUCCAUAACAGCAGUCAGUGUUUAAAUGUCUGCAACUAAACGAACUCCGGCGCUGGAUGGCACGAGCUCUCCCCGGCUCCCGUGCCGACAGUCUCUCACCCUGCUUCCUGUUUCUUGAAGUGAAAGCACCAGACGUGCUCACUGCGAAACCGAGGAGGCAGUUUAGUGGGACAUCCUGAUAAGCACCAGGCAGAAAGGCUCCAACUAUUCCCCAGCCAGGCAUCCACUCCAACUAUUGUCCAUUGUUUGAAAGGCACAGGAUGUCAAAUUUGGACAGCAGAUGCAUCUGGGGUAAUCCCAACAAGCUGUCGCUUGUACUUGUAGGCACAACAUCCAAGACUUGGUCCUGCUUUGAGUUGCUCGGCUCCUCAUCAGGAUAAAUGACUAGGAAACAGGCAGUAAGGAAGCCGAGGAAGGAGCCACCAGAGGCCACUGCAGGAAUAACACGCACACUGCCAACUGCUUCAACCACAGCUCCAAGGGCUGAUGCAACCAAAAUCUGGCUGAUAUAGACCUGUGUGUCAAACAAAAUAGAAUCAUUCUUCUCAUUAUAAAUUGCAAUGCAAUCCUUAUCUGAAUGAGCAUUAAAAGAUAACCACAGUCUUAACACUGGUGACUCUAAAUAGCUCAAAGGCAGAGCAUCAUGCUUUAAUAGUUUGAGUUUACACAGUGUGUAUAAAUAAAUUUCGAUCUAACAGGGUAUCAUUGUGAAUGCUCACCUGGCAGGAUAAGAUGGCGCAGUCAAUACCAAAGCCUCUUCUAGUGUUAGCUGGACUGUGGUGAAUGUACUGAGGAGAGGAACAGUGGAGGAGACAUCAUUGAUUUAAAUGCAUAUUAAAUAAACUGUUAAGCACUUUA